CAAAAAUCCGGGAUCACUUACGCCGAGCACCGAGACGAGUCCUAUGAGGACGAAGUGACUGACACCACGCUUCCAGGAAAAGCCACUAAGCUUCAGCUUAAGAAAAACCGUACCGCAAACCGACACAGGUAGGCAGGGUGAGAAUCCCAAGGCGCUUGAGAGAACUCGGGUGAAGGAACUAGGCAAAAUGGCACCGUAACUUCGGGAGAAGGUGCGCCCUUUGGUGUGGUCACGUGCGUGACUGAGCAUCGAAGGGUCGCAGUAACCUGGCCGCUGCGACUGUUUAUCAAAAACACAGCACUCUGCAAACACGAAAGUGGACGUAUAGGGUGUGACGCCUGCCCGGUGCUGGAAGGUUAAUUGAUGGGGUCAGCCGCAAGGCGAAGCUCUUGAUCGAAGCCCCAGUAAACGGCGGCCGUAACUAUAACGGUCCUAAGGUAGCGAAAUUCCUUGUCGGGUAAGUUCCGACCUGCACGAAUGGCGUAACGACAGCGGCGCUGUCUCCACCCGAGACUCAGUGAAAUUGAAAUCGCUGUGAAGAUGCAGCGUUCCCGCGGCAAGACGGAAAGACCCCGUGAACCUUUACUAUAGCUUUACACUGAACGUUGAGUUCUUCUGUGUAGGAUAGGUGGGAGGCUAUGAAACCAGGACGCUAGUUCUGGUGGAGCCAUCCUUGAAAUACCACCCUGAAGUGCUUGACGUUCUAACCUAGGCCCGUAAUCCGGGUCAGGGACCGUGUAUGGUGGGUAGUUUGACUGGGGCGGUCUCCUCCCAAAGAGUAACGGAGGAGCACGAAGGUACGCUCAGCGCGGUCGGACAUCGCGCACUGUGUGCAAAGGCAUAAGCGUGCUUGACUGCGAGAUCGACGGAUCAAGCAGGUACGAAAGUAGGUCUUAGUGAUCCGGUGGUUCUGUAUGGAAGGGCCAUCGCUCAACGGAUAAAAGGUACUCCGGGGAUAACAGGCUGAUACCGCCCAAGAGUUCAUAUCGACGGCGGUGUUUGGCACCUCGAUGUCGGCUCAUCACAUCCUGGGGCUGUAGCCGGUCCCAAGGGUAUGGCUGUUCGCCAUUUAAAGUGGUACGCGAGCUGGGUUCAGAACGUCGUGAGACAGUUCGGUCCCUAUCUGUCGUGGGCGUUGGAGAUUUGAGGGGGGCUGCUCCUAGUACGAGAGGACCGGAGUGGACGUUCCGCUGGUGUUCGGGUUGUCAUGCCCAUGGCAUUGCCCGGUAGCUACGAACGGAAGUGAUAACCGCUGAAAGCAUCUAAGCGGGAAGCACGCCCCAAGAUGAGAUCUCCCGAGAGCUUGACUCUCCUAAAGGCACCAUCAAGACUAGGUGGUUGAUAGGUCAGGUGUGGAAGCGCAGCAAUGCGUUGAGCUAACUGAUACUAAUGAGCCGUGAGGCUUGACUA
rnacentral:rRNA from 1 species